rnacentral:rRNA from 1 species
AUCAAUAAGCGGAGGAAAAGAAACUAACCAGGAUUCCCCCAGUAACGGCGAGCGAAGCGGGAACAGCUCGAGCAGGCAAUCUCUGGUGUCGAUCGCCAGCGAAUUGUGGCCGGUAGAGGCGGGUGCACCUGACGCGACUUCGUCGAAGUUGACCUGGAAAGGCACGUCGGAGAGGGUGAUAGCCCCGUGCGUGGCGGAGUCGCCGAGGGAAGCUACCGUCUUCUGAGAGUCGGGUUGUUUGGGAGUGCAGCCCAAAGUGGGUGGUAAACUCCAUCUAAAGCCAAAUAGCGGCACGAGACCGAUAGCGAACAAGUACCAUGAGGGAAAGGUGAAAAGCACUUUGGAAAGAGAGUUAAAGAGGCCGCGAAACCGUUGGGAGGGAAACGCAUGCAGCCGGACCGGCCCGCGUCGAGUUCACGGGGCUGCCGUUAGUCGCGUCUGCCGUCGUCACCGAAAGGGUCGRCGGUGGGCCCGGGCUCUCGGCACCCCUGCACUCUCGGUGCUUCGGGCCGGCCAAGCGCGGCGGGAUCCGGGCGACGAGCUCGGUCGGGCAGGUAACGCAGCCGCCUGGCGGAGGCGAACUUAUAGCCGGCCGAGCGGAGCGUCCGGGACCCGCCGAGGAGAGCGGUGGCACUUCCACCCAAGCAGCGCAGGCCGCUCGUCGGCAGGGGCUCUCUGGCUCGUUGGCGAGCCGCUCCGCGUCACUGCGUGCAGUGGCCGGGGACGGUCCGCCUCCGGGUCGGGGKUAGCUCACUCCUUGCGCUCGGGCCGCUUGGCCUGACGUCGGCUGCAUCCGA